AAGAUGCUCACUUUGGGUCCUCCCCAAGUGUACGCUUCCGGGAUUUCCCAACUCUGCAGCAAUUCUAUGAAUAUACGUCUAAUUAUAUGAUUGCAGUCAUAGUUAAUCUCAAGUUGGGGCGAUGGUUUUGUUUUGGUAUCUGCGGGAUCGAGAAUUGAUAAGAGAAAGUGUCGGGGACCGCAUGUGCAUUUCACUGAAAUAACAAUGAUGUAAUGGUUGGUCGGCUGAAGAGCUGUCUUGCGGCUAGAAUCGUUCCGUUCAGUUGCCAAUCGAUUUCGCCUGUUUGCACUGAAAUGAGGAGUCGACGCGUUACCUGCCAUUCGCUUUGUAGGUUUGCAAAAUUUUAUAGAGAUUUCGAACAUUCUCGAAUCGUUGGAAGGAAUUGCAUAGAAAUGCGCGUGAUGACAGAUAGGUCAGUCUGGGGUCUAAUUAUGCGAACACUCGAAGAAAAAAAAAGCAGUUGCCACGAUAACAAACUUUCUUAUCAAUUUUCGUUAUUUAUCAAUACUCUUUGUGAACAAAAACAAAAAUACUUUAGCCAGCUACA